ACUCAAAGGAAUUGACGGGGACCCGCACAAGCGGUGGAGCAUGUGGUUUAAUUCGACGCAACGCGAAGAACCUUACCUGGGUUAAAUCUCGCCUCGGCGCCCCAGAGAUGGGGAAUCCCUUCGGGGGAGGCGGGACGGUGCUGCAUGGCUGUCGUCAGCUCGUGCCGUGAGGUGUUGGGUUAAGUCCCGCAACGAGCGCAACCCUUGCCACUAGUUGCCAGCGUCAAGACGGGCACUCUAGUGGGACUGCCGGUGACAAACCGGAGGAAGGUGGGGAUGACGUCAAGUCAUCAUGGCCUUUAUGUCCAGGGCUACACACGUGCUACAAUGGCCGGUACAAAGCGCCGCAAACCCGCGAGGGGGAGCCAAUCGCAAAAAGCCGGUCUCAGUUCGGAUUGCAGUCUGCAACUCGACUGCAUGAAGGUGGAAUCGCUAGUAAUCGCGGAUCAGCACGCCGCGGUGAAUACGUUCCCGGGUCUUGCACACACCGCCCGU
rnacentral:rRNA from 1 species